rnacentral:rRNA from 1 species
UGCCUAAUAGCUAGCCCAAACUUACCCCACCAAAAAUUAAUUAUAAAUACCCCUUAAUUAACUUAAAAAAUUUAAACAAACCAUUUUUCCACCCUAGUAUGGGCGACAGAAAAGGAACACGGAGCAACAGAAAAAGUACCGCAAGGGAAAGCUGAAAGAGAAAUGAAACAACUUGUUUAAGCCACAAAAAGCAGAGAUUAAAACUCGUACCUUUUGCAUCAUGAUUUAGCCAGUAAAACUCAAGCACAGUGCCCUUUAGUUUGAUACCCCGAAACUGAGCGAGCUACUUCAAGACAGCCUAUUUAAUAGGGCAAACCCGUCUCUGUGGCAAAAGAGUGGGAAGAGCUUCAAGUAGAGGUGAUAAACCUACCGAGCCCAGUUAUAGCUGGUUGCCUGAGAAAUGAAUAGAAGUUCAGCCUUUUAGCUUCUUAACCCAAACCAGACUUACCCAGACCUGGGCUCAAGAAACUAAAAGAGUUAGCCAACGGAGGUACAGCUCCUUUGGAAAAGAUACAACUUUAUCAGGAGGUGAAAGAUCAAAAUUAUUUACUAGGUAUAUUGUUUUAGUGGGCCUAA